GUGUCAGCCGCCGCGGUAAUACGGAGGGUGCGAGCGUUGUCCGGAAUCACUGGGCGUAAAGGGCGCGUAGGCGGCUUCCUAAGGGGGCGGUGAAAGCCCGGGGCUCAACCCCGGGUCGGCCGUGCCGACUGGGAGGCUGGAGCACUGUAGAGGCGGGUGGAAUUCCGGGUGUAGCGGUGGAAUGCGUAGAGAUCCGGAAGAACACCGGUGGCGAAGGCGGCCCGCUGGGCAGUGGCUGACGCUGAGGCGCGACAGCGUGGGGAGCAAACAGGAUUAGAAACCCCCGUAGUCC
rnacentral:rRNA from 1 species